rnacentral:tRNA from 1 species
CGGAGCAUAGCGCAAUUGGUUAGCGCACCGGCUUUGGGAGCCGGAGGUUGUGGGUUCGAGUCCCACUGCUCCGA